rnacentral:rRNA from 1 species
UAGCGUAUAUUAAAGUUGUUGCAGUUAAAAAGCUCGUAGUUGGAUUUCUGCCGAGGACGGCCGGUCCGCACUAUGUGCGUGUAUCUGGUUCGGCCUUGGCAUCCUCUCGAAAUACGUUCUGCGCUUGAUUGCGUGGUGCGGAGUUCGAGACUUUUACUUUGAGGAAAUUAGAGUGUUCACGGCAGGCAAUCGCCUUGAAUAUAUUAGCAUGGAAUAAUAAUAUAGGAUCUUGGUUCUAUUUUGUUGGUUUCUAGAGCUAGGAUAAUGAUUAAUAGGGACAAUUGGGGGCAUUCGUAUUAACGCGUC